CCUACGGGCGGCAGCAGUGGGGAAUACUGCACAAUGGGCGCAAGCCUGAUGCAGCCAUGCCGCGUGUGUGAAGAAGGCCUUCGGGUUGUAAAGCACUUUCAGCGGGGAGGAAGGCGUUAAGGUUAAUAACCUUGUCGAUUGACGUUACCCGCAGAAGAAGCACCGGCUAACUCCGUGCCAGCAGCCGCGGUAAUACGGAGGGUGCAAGCGUUAAUCGGAAUUACUGGGCGUAAAGCGCACGCAGGCGGUCUGUCAAGUCGGAUGUGAAAUCCCCGGGCUCAACCUGGGAACUGCAUUCGAAACUGGCAGGCUAGAGUCUUGUAGAGGGGGGUAGAAUGCCAGGUGUAGCGGUGAAAUGCGUAGAGAGCUGGAGGAAUACCGGUGGCGAAGGCGCCCCCCUGACAAAGACUGACGCUCAGGUGCGAAAGCGUGGGGAGCAAACAGGAUUAGAUACCCUAGUAGUC
rnacentral:rRNA from 1 species